rnacentral:rRNA from 1 species
GGCGAACGCUGGCGGCGUGCCUAAUACAUGCAAGUAGAACGCUGAAGGAGGAGCUUGCUUCUCUGGAUGAGUUGCGAACGGGUGAGUAACGCGUAGGUAACCUGCCUGGUAGCGGGGGAUAACUAUUGGAAACGAUAGCUAAUACCGCAUAAUAGUAGAUGUUGCAUGACAUUUGCUUAAAAGGUGCAAUUGCAUCACUACCAGAUGGACCUGCGUUGUAUUAGCUAGUUGGUGGGGUAACGGCUCACCAAGGCGACGAUACAUAGCCGACCUGAGAGGGUGAUCGGCCACACUGGGACUGAGACACGGCCCAGACUCCUACGGGAGGCAGCAGUAGGGAAUCUUCGGCAAUGGACGGAAGUCUGACCGAGCAACGCCGCGUGAGUGAAGAAGGUUGUCGGAUCGUAAAGCUCUGUUGUAAGAGAAGAACGAGUGUGAGAGUGGAAAGUUCACACUGUGACGGUAGCUUACCAGAAAGGGACGGCUAACUACGUG